rfam:Schistosoma mansoni strain Puerto Rico chromosome 5, complete genome
AUCCAGCUGACGAGUCCCAAGUGGGAUGAAACGCGCGUCCUGGAU